rnacentral:tRNA from 2 species
GUGUGCGUAAUUUAAAAAAAAUAUCAAGUUGUGACCCUGAAAAUAGACCCCCCUCGCACACC